ACUUUAACUAGUAAGGUAGUAUAUAAAUAUAAUAAAAACCUUAAUAAAAUGGCGGCAUUUUACUCUAUUAGAGGAACAUGUUAUUUAAUCGAUAAUACACGCUCAAUCUCACUUAAAUUAAAAUUUUAUAUACCGCCGUCUAAAGCAUACUUAGUGUAUACUUUUAAUAUAAAUCUCACAAGUCAGGUAAAGGUGUAAAGUAUAUAUAAGUACUAAAUGUGUUACAUUAAAAAUAAUUUAAGGAAAACUAAUUAAAUCAAAAGAAAAUAGGAUUUAAUAGUAAUUUUAUUCUAAUAUAAUAAAUUGAACAGCAAAAUUAAUGUGU
rnacentral:rRNA from 1 species